rnacentral:sRNA from 1 species
AGCAAAAGAAACAAAUUUAAUACAAAUAUAAAUUUUCUAAAUUCGAAAAGAAAAAUAUUUUGUUCAGUUACAUUAAUUGACGGGUUUUGUCGCAACUAUUCAAAAUGUCAGACUCGGAUGUGAAUAACUAUUUACCAGCUGCACUUAAAGCUGCUGCUGGUGGAAAUAUGCUGCAAUGCAAUAAUUGGCUUACGGGCGGCGCUGUUGUUCUAUAUU